AUUGAACGCUGGCGGCAGGCUUAACACAUGCAAGUCGAGCGGGGUGAUGGUGCUUGCACUAUCACUUAGCGGCGGACGGGUGAGUAAUGCUUAGGAAUCUGCCUAUUAGUGGGGGACAACAUCUCGAAAGGGAUGCUAAUACCGCAUGCGUCCUACGGGAGAAAGCAGGGGAUCACUUGUGACCUUGCGCUAAUAGAUGAGCCUAAGUCGGAUUAGCUAGUUGGUGGGGUAAAGGCCUACCAUGGCGACGAUCUGUAGCGGGUCUGAGAGGAUGAUCCGCCACACGGGGACUGAGACACGGCCCAGACUCCUACGGGAGGCAGCAGUGGGGAAUAUUGGACAAUGGGGGGAACCCUGAUCCAGCCAUGCCGCGUGUGUGAAGAAGGCCUUAUGGUUGUAAAGCACUUUAAGCGAGGAGGAGGCUCUUUUGGUUAAUACCCAAGAUGAGUGGACGUUACUCGCAGAAUAAGCACCGGCUAACUCUGUGCCAGCAGCCGCCGUAAGAC
rnacentral:rRNA from 1 species